rnacentral:rRNA from 1 species
UGAACGCUGGCGGUAGGCCUAACACAUGCAAGUCGAACGGCAGCACAGUAAGAGCUUGCUCUUACGGGUGGCGAGUGGCGGACGGGUGAGGAAUACAUCGGAAUCUACUUUUUCGUGGGGGAUAACGUAGGGAAACUUACGCUAAUACCGCAUACGACCUACGGGUGAAAGCAGGGGAUCUUCGGACCUUACGCGAUUGAAUGAGCCGAUGUCGGAUUAGCUAGUUGGCGGGGUAAAGGCCCACCAAGGCGACGAUCCGUAGCUGGUCUGAGAGGAUGAUCAGCCACACUGGAACUGAGACACGGUCCAGACUCCUACGGGAGGCAGCAGUGGGGAAUAUUGGACAAUGGGCGCAAGCCUGAUCCAGCCAUACCGCGUGGGUGAAGAAGGCCUUCGGGUUGUAAAGCCCUUUUGUUGGGAAAGAAAAGCAGCAGGUUAAUACCCCGCUGUUCUGACGGUACCCAAAGAAUAAGCACCGGCUAACUUCGUG